rnacentral:rRNA from 1 species
UACCAGCACCCCGAGUGGUCGGGACGUUUUAUUGGGCCUAAAGCAUCCGUAGCCGGUUCUACAAGUCCUCCGUUAAAUCCACCUGCUUAACAGAUGGGCUGCGGAAGAUACUAUAGAGCUAGGAGGCGGGAGAGGCAAGCGGUACUCGAUGGGUGAGGGAUAAAAUCCGUUGCAUCCAUUGAAGACCACCAGUGGCGAAGGCGGCUUGCCAGAACGCGCUCGACGGUGAGGGAUGAAAGCUGGGGGACGCAAACCGG